UCUGCAAACAGUAGGAAGGAUGAAGAUCACUGAUGGGCCACUGCCAGUGGAGGAGCAGCGGGAGCCCUGAGGGCAGACACCAGCAUGACUUCCGAGUGGAGGGCACAGGCUCUCACAGCAACUGGUGAAGUGAGAUUCUCCCAUCCUCUGGAUGGGGAGAGCCCUGAGAGGGACCUGGACCACCUGAAGUCGGAGGCGCAGCCCGGCGCAUGAGCUAGAGCCCAGUCUUCAGGCCUUUCCUGCUGAGGUCCCCAACUUCAGGACCCAGCCUUGAGAGGCAAGACGGCAGGAGAAAAGGCCUUCUGGGAGUCGGGCAGUCGGAUGGCCUUCGGGCCCUCCUAACCCAGGUGCUCGUCCCUUCACAGGAAGCAGCAUGAAGCAGGGGAAGAACAUGGGUUUUGGAGCCACGUGGUCCUGCAACUGAAUUCUGGCUCUGCCACUUAACUAACUGUGUGACUUUAGGCAAGCUUCUUAACUGCUCUGAGCCUCAGUUUUCUCAUCUGAAAAAUAAGACCAGUGCCAUCCUUCUCCUAGGGUCGUUGGGAUGCUAUACAUAAACACAAGGCAUUUCCAUGAACCUAGUAGCACAGUGUACCGGACCACUGCCAGAGGCUCAGGCCCGGCAGAAAUAAUCGCUCUCCAGGUUGAUGUAUAAGUGGUCACUCUUGAUAUUUGUAAACUGUUGGCUCUGUAGCACACAGGCUUUAAGACUCAGAGCCUCGGGGGGGAUGGACUCUCUCACUGAAAAGACAGGGAGGCAGGCGAGAGAGAAGUGACUGGCUCAGGGUCACAGACGGAGCCACGGCAGAGCUGGAGCUCAAACGUGGGUGUGCGACACGUAGUCCAGGCCCCUCGCCCUGCAGCCCUGCUGAAUCAGAUGAUUAUCUGAAGCAGGGAGGACACUGGAGGCCACCUGGGCGGACUCCCUCAGCACUCAGAGGAACUGAGGCCACAGCGGUUUGCUGACCAGGUGGUGAGGACACUGGGAAGGCAGGAAGUCUCUCCCACCAAUGCACAGACGAAGAGCUGAGCCCAAGGGUGAGGAAGCCAUGCUGAAAGCCACCCACAAACCUGUAGCGGGGCCACGCCUAGAACCCCCUGAGGAGGAGGAUGAACUUUCCAGAUCAGGCCCUGCUUGGCUUCAGUCUCUGUCCCCUGAGAACACGCAAAGUCGGCGCUGCCUGUCCCUAGACCCAACUCUGACCACAGGCCGGGGGGGUUUAAGUGCUUCAGAUUAAAUUCCAUUUGC